rnacentral:rRNA from 1 species
GAUGAACGCUGGCGGCGUGCCUAAUACAUGCAAGUCGAGCGAACAGACGAGGAGCUUGCUCCUUUGACGAUAGCGGCGGACGGGAGAGUAACACGUGUAUAACCUACCUAUAAGACUGGGAAAACUUCGGGAAACCGGAGCUAAUACCGUAUAACAUGUUGAACCGCAUGGUUCAAUAGUGAAAGACGGUCUUGCUGUCACUUAUAGAUGGAUCCGCGCCGCAUUAGCUAGUUGGUAAGUUAACGGCUUACGAAGGCAACGAUGCGUAGCCGAGGUGAGAGGGUGAUCGCCCACACUGGAGCUGAGCCACGGUCCAGAGUCCUACGGGAGGCACCAGUAGGGAAUCUUCGGCAGUAGGCGAAAGCCUGACGGAACAACGCCACGUGAGUGAAGGAAGUCUUCGGAUCGUAAAGCUCUGUUAUUAGGGAAAAACAAAUGUGUAAGUAACUAUACACGUCUUGACGGUACCUAAUCAGAAAGCCACGGCUAACUACGUG